rnacentral:lncRNA from 1 species
GGGCAUUGUAGCGCAUUUCUUCCUUAAAUUAGUGAACCAAAGUUCUCCAACAGUCUUUAGGUUUUUGUGCUCCCGGCAUCUUUGAUCAUUGUUGUAACAGUAAAAUAUCCAUAGUGUGAUCUUUGCCUGUAAAGGUGGUUGAUUAAAAUGAGCAAAGCUUUUGUCUGGGAAAGAACUGAAAAGAACACAGCACUGAAAAGAAUACAGCAAUUGAAGUGGAUUCCCAAGAACGCCUCUUUUUGCUGUAUUGGAAUCUUUGUAACAUCUCAGUGAUAGACAUCUCACUGACAUCAGGUGCUGUUGUGCUAAAAAUGUUAACAGGUAAAAUCUGUGGAAAAAUCUUUACAUUUGUUAUAGUUUGUAUAAUAAUGAUAGAUGAAAUAGUAACAUAGUUGAUCUUUCUAGUGUUUUGUAUUAAAGAUAAACACCCCUGUAUAUGAUUUAGAGAUACAGGGAUAAUUUGAAGCAGCAAAGUAUUUACCGCCUUUGUUCAUAAUGGUAUGUAAAAUUACAUUCUCUUUAAAUGUUAAAAAUACUCCUUUAUUCAAAAUGUCUCAAUAUAUUUAGAAUAGUUGAUAAUUGGAAAUAUGACGUUAAUUAUCUUUCUUUGUCCUGUUAGGGAGAAGACAACUUAUUCCCUAAGUUAUAAUUAGUAAAUAUAAUAACUACAGUUAUUAGUGGCUUAAAAUACCAGAAACACCCAAAAAUUGUCUUAGAAAACAUUUUUUUUUUUUUUUUUUAACCAAGAUCUGACAGCCAUUGUGGAAAGCUACAUUCGUGAGAUUGGAUGCUUAACAAUGUGAAUCUUAAUUGUUUAAGUGUAUUUUUCAGUGGCUGUUGGAUGUAGCUUAAGAUGAUUAGAAUUUGUAUUAUUAUUUCUAAAAGUGAGUUAAGAAAGCACUCAGAUACAAUAUUGAAUGUAUUUAUAUUUUAACUCUACCUUUGUAUAGGUGGUUUAUGUACCUUUAACCAUUACAAACCAAAUUACAUUUUCUUUGUAUUUGAAAAACUGAUAAAAUAUUUGAUUACGUGUAUUUUAUAUAUAUAUACAUAGAGUGGUAUGGAUGUUGAAUUUAUAUCUUUGACAUCUUUUCACCAGUUUGCAAUAGGUGACCUAAAUGAUCAAUUUCCAAAUUCAUCAUGUAUAUCACCUGGACGGGUUAAUCCAUAAUACUCUUUUACUUUCCAUUGACUGGCCUUGGCUCUGGCAGACUGAAUAUUUUUAUCAUUAUAAAUAAACUUUAUGAUAGUUGAAGUAAAGUUUCUGCCUGUUUUAACUGUUUUUAACUGUUGAAGUAUUUCACUUAUAUUAAUUAUACCACUCUGCAAACUUAAACGAAAAUCGAGUAGUUUCUGUUUUAAUAAGAACAUUUAUAUUUUCUUCUAAAGUUUAAACCUUAUUCAUUAUUGCAGUUGUUAUUGCAAUCAUAUGAUCUUUAACUAUCAUGAUUCAAUUAUUCAUCUUGGUAAUUAGCUGUUAUGCUCUUAUACGCAAGUUUAAUAUAUUUGUUUGUAGGCCACACUGCAGCUGCAUAUGGCAUUUUAGCAAUAAUCUUCAAUUGCGUUUCAGAUAUUCACAAAGUCCAUCCACCUUUGUAAUUAACACAUUAUGUGUUUAUCUUAUACCAUUAAUUAUAGUAUCUGUAUUAUAUUACACAUUGUCACUGACACAUUUUUGAUACAGGUAAAAAAAAUUGCAUGAUUGCUUUAGUAAUUAUAAUUUUCGGUCCAAGCACCACAUUCCUGGAAGUCCAGAAUAUAGCAAGAAUCCUUUGUCGUUUGAUUCUAUGGAGCCAUUUAACGUUUUCAUUGGUAUAGUUAUACCAAAAGAGCAAGGAGUACGACGGUAGAUCACAUCUGCAACAGAACCAUUACAGAUUCCUUGUUGUAUCAAUGUCUCUGUCUUUAUGUUUACAGGAGGUCCUUGCUUUGCAGGUAUGUACAUAAUAUGUAGAGUUUAAGAAAAGCUGCAAAUCGUGCUUUAGUACAAGUGUCCCAUGAUGUCAGGUUUCUGAAAGAUUUUGUUGGUCUUUUUAUAUUCCAUUCUCUUGGCAGGGCAUCUGCUCUUAGUAAGCCGGUAUUGUUAUUAUUUAUUAAUUGCAUCAAGGUUUCUUUAGUUAAUUGAUGUGUUUCUACCUAAUUCAAAUUCAUAUGCCACCAAAUGUCAUUUUAAAGUUCAUUGUUACAGAAUAUUGUUCCAGGAUGGUUUUUCACUCCAGUAGGAAAUCUAUAUUCCUCUUCUUCUGCUCCUUCCUAUAAACCACUUUUUCUGAGUUGUAGGCAACAAUCUGUGUCUUGUACUGUGAGGUGCUUUGAUUGUCAAUCAGGUUUUCUCAGUACCAUGUUCCAUCUUGAGAAACAGCUAGGUGUUGAGGGCUAUCAGUCUUUAUUUCUUUUUCCGGUCAUCUUCUGUCUGGAGACAUAAUAGCAAUGUCCAGAAUUAGCAUAGCACUUCUUUUCAGCAUAAAGAAGGCUGUUUGCGCUAGUCAUUCAAUGAUAAACUAUACGGCAAAGUCUUUUCUUAAUCACCUUCAUAGGUGCAUCCAAAGUCUUUCACAAGCAUCUAUCUCGUCUUUUUCUGUUUUCAGCAUGCUUUGCCAUCAUCGUUGAGUCCAUUAUUAGGAUUUGAAAUAGUUCAAUCACAUCUUUCUCACGUAUAAUCGGUUUUUGGAAUGAUCUCAAUAGGUUCCUUGUGAAAUACCAGUGUAGGUCACAUUAGCAAUCAUUUCACUGUGAGCUGUGUCUCUCCUUUUGAGAUGGUUCUUGGAGGUAGUCCUCACGAUCAAAGAACUUGUAUAGUGUGCAGUCCAAUUCAUUUCAGGUGCUUCCUGCUUGUUAACAUAAUCCCAAUGCAGUUUUAAAACGACAGCUAGGGUUGAUGUUAUGAUAAUGCUGCAGACUGUAAGAAGGAGACACCAUAACCAAUUUUCUAGCAUCAUUUUGCUUCCAUCUUUGCAUUUCUUUCUUACUGUAUAAGAUAAUUCAGGUUCAGUCUGUUUUCUCCAGAGUCUUUCUUAUAAUGAUGUUGAUGAUUCAUUUUCAUACAUUCCAUGUUAACUGUGAAUGUAUCACGUCUGUCUGUUCAUCCUUCUCCUUCACAUUUGCAGGUUCAGAUGUCAGAUCACGAUUCAGUCUGUCUAUGAUUCUGGUGGCUUUUCUGUCGUCCUCUGUUUGUUUUAUCUUGCCAUCUUUAACAGCAUCCAUUGUGUCAGUCAGUGGUUCUGUGAAUGUCCUGUUAAUAUUUAGCAGGUUGUAAAAUAUCAAAACUUACUGUUCUCUGUUGGGUCUGAUUGUUCUCUGUAGUAAAAGUUCUUGGUAUCACCCUCUCCAGGACAAACUGGCCAACAGAAGGAAAUAGGUGGUGGUGCAAGGCGAAGUGGACUGGAAAAAAAAUAAUUCCCUAAAUUUCUCUAAUAGAACCAAUGGUUCUAAGCUCUCCCUGGUGCAGAAAUAUAUUUGUCAGUGAAAAACAUGUAACAUUUCAUAUGGUGUCUCACCAUUUGUAUCAUCAGGUAUGUUGUGAAUGCUUAUCUGUACCAUAGGAAUAAAUAGAUACCACUGUGUGGGGCAAGCAGCUAGUAACUUGGUUAAUAAUCAUUUAACCUCAGCAUUUUCCCAGACCACAACCCCACUUCUUUGGGGGUGGUUGGGGCACUGAAAUCCCAAAGUAACCCAAAUGGGGUUGCCCAGUUUUAGGUUUCCUUUGCAGUAACUGCAGGACCACCAUCCAAAUGGAUGGUCCUGGGAUUAUCAAAUGCAUACUAAGGAAGUGAGACUAGAAAACAUGGCAUCAGAGGUUGCACUUCGCACAGGAUAUAUCCAAGUAAACCUGGUACAUGCAUCAACACAUACAAAAAACAUAUUUAUAACCAUGAGAUGUUGGCAAACUUUCAAUAUAUAGUAAUUCAAAAGUAUGUUGGAUAUUAAUAUUUCAAUAAACAAUACAUCAGUAAUGUGGCAAUAAGCAAAUGCUUAUGAUUACUAAACACAUGAAUUACAGUAUUUCCCAUAUUGUGACCACCAAUAUUCCUUUUCAGGAGUCAAAAGUACAUUAUCUCUCUCUAUAAGAGCUUGUCCUAGCCAUGAAAAAGCUUUUAGGGCAAGUCCAUCUUUCCUCUAUAGGAAGAACAACCAACAUAUUACCUUCAAUGGUUAUUAUGUAAUUAACCCCUCUAAACGAUAGGAGUAUUUAUGCGGAUACCAGGUGGAUAAGGUCUGCAUAUACUUGCAAGCAUAAACUCUGCAUCAUGACUGAGAGAUAGGGUAUGCUUUUGUGAUCCAAUGACCACAGAAAAGCGUUGGUAGACACAUUGCAUCAAAGUGCCUGUUAAUGACCAACUACAUGAGGAGAGGGACCAUGCUUUGUUAUAAGCAUGUCCAUACACGUAUUACAAUGCCAGGCUUUCAAUUUGUUUUCACAAAGCAAAAUGCAGUUGUGGAUAUAAACUCACAACGUAUCAUAAGAAAAACUGUUUGAACUCAAGACUGAGACUCGAGAUCAGUGAACAAUGGACCAAAAUAUAUAAAUGAAAUCCUAUCAAUUAAUAUACUUUCAAUAUAUUUUCUUUAAAUUACUUUAUUCUCUGUAUUAACUAUGAAAUAUUAAAGUUAAAACAAUAAUAUUUAAAAGCCAACUUUUAGUGUGGAUAGGAAUGACAAGGCCGUUCAUAAUGUGAGAUAAAGAACAGCUUUUUAAAACCGAAUAGUCUGUGAACACAAGAUGACCUUGCGCUGAAAACUCACUUGCAGGGGAAAAACAAAACAAAAAACUUUUUUUUUCUUUAGUAAGUUAAUUAAUUAAUUAAUUAAUUAAACAUAGCUAGAACCUCCCUCAAAGUCCCGAUGACUUUGCAAGAAACAUGUCGUCCUUAAAUACUGGGUAAGUCUAUUAAACAGUGACAUAGCAAUCUUACCCUGUGUAUUAUGUUGUCAGAGCUAUUCAUAACUAUUCAUAAGUGUUGUGCCAACUGUUCAUUAAAAGCCAGCGGUCUAACGAGCUAUAGAAUGUUUAUUUAUUUAUUCUUUAAAUCUCUGACCUCAAUCGGCAAAGCAAUAUUGUAAUGGUGUCCAUUGCAAUCUGCUGUCUUACUUGCUGNNNNNNNNNNNNNNNNNNNNNNNNNNNNNNNNNNNNNNNNNNNNNNNNNNNNNNNNNNNNNNNNNNNNNNNNNNNNNNNNNNNNNNNNNNNNNNNNNNNNUGAAGCUAUUAACGUGGGUCGUGGAUGAAGGAAUGUUUAUUUCUUUUUUUUCAAAUGGAGCAUAUGUUUUAACCUGCAAUGUCUGACUCCAUGUGAAAGUUCAAACUGCAGUUGACUGUAUGCCUGGUAAGGCAAACAUUACGUAGAGUCUGUUUAUGAGGCUGUUAAUGAAGGUGGAAGUAGUCCGACACAGUAUGGUAUAUUCAGUAGUAUAUCCAGCAGUUUAAUUUCAAAUAUCUUCCUGCAGCUUGCCUGUUAAUUAUCAGUAGCAGCAAGAACUUUAAAGAGCCAUUCUAAACACCAUAAGCACUUUGCAUAAUUGCAAAGAGAAUGAUGCUUAGUGCAUCCUGAAUCCUGUCUCAUGUCAUGUAAAAGUUGCUGCCGUUAUAAGACAGCCCACCAGACGUGUUAGUCAGGCAGCCCAGAGCCAGGGCUGGAUUAACAUAGAGGCUGAUGGGGCUGCACCUCCAGGCCCAUGCCCAUGCAAAAGGCCUAUUGUUUAAAAAAAAAAAAAAUGUUUUUUACUACUCUUCACAUGUUCUUGCUUAAGUAUGGAAACUUACGAGGGAUGUAGAGGAACAAAACUUGUGUGGGCUGGCUGACAAGAAAAAGAAGUUAAGAUAAAAAGGUAAAGCUGACCUUGUGCACUAUGCAAAUGCAUCAGUCUCUCUAACACUGUGGCAUGUUCCCUUUCUUCUACACUCACUACAUCCACUUUUUCUCUGUCGAAGACUGUGUAGCUUCUGUCUGCUAGUAAGAAGGUUAGGAGAGGAGUGAACAAGUGAGUGCUAGGGGGCAGUCCUUAAAAAAGCAUGGAGCAAGCACAUCAUUAGAUGCAUUUAUGCCAAGUUCAGGGUGCUGACUUUCUAAUUCGUUGUGCAGACACGCCCCCUUUCUGAGCAUGCUUACCCCUUUUGGCGUUUCUGGUUACUGACUCAGUCAGUGGCCCACCCUUUUACCCCACCCACCGACAUCCUGCUUCAUCCAACACUGCUGUUAGGGGAUACUGAUUUACUUGAAAGAUGAAAGCAAGAGAUUAGCAUAGGGCAAGCAUGUCAAACAGGCUGCAUGCGGCCCACAAUGGACAUCUUUGUGGCGAGCCGUGAGUACAUGCUUGGUGUUAUAGCAGAGUAGGCACCUGCGUUCCCCACAUUGCAGGUGCCUACUCUGCUAAAACUUACCCGGCCAGGGAGGCACACGCCAUCUGUAGUGAAGCCAGGCGUCGGAAUAUGACAUCAUAUUCCGGCACCCGGCAUCACUAAACUGCGCGAGGGAGCAGUGAGGAGCAGAUAGAAGAUCCACACUGGACUCCAGGGAGAGGCCCCACAUCAGCUCCCAAAGGUAGGGAGCAAUAAAGAAAAUUAUGUUUGUGUGUGUGUGUGUCUGUGAGUGUGUGUCUGUCUGUCAGUGUGUCUGUGAGUCUGUCUGUGUGUGUGUCAGUGAGUGUGUGUGUGUGUGUCUGUGUGUGUGUCUUUCAGUGAGUGUCUGUGUGUCUCAGUGAGUGUCUGUGUGUGUGUCUGUCAGGGAGUGUGUAUGUGUCUGUCUGUGAGUGUGCGUGUGUGUUUGUCAGUGAGUGAGUGUGUCUGUCAGUGAGUGUGUGUGUGGGUCAGUGUUGCAUGGAGACACGCAACCCCACAUCACUGGGAUUUUUUUGUAUACUGUACUUUUCAAAAUAAAGAUACGUUUCUAUGAAAAUUUAAGGUGUUUUUUUUUUGCGGCCCCCAUAAACUUAAACCUUGUUUAUGUGACCCAUGCUAGACUUUGAGUUUGACAUGCUUGGCAUAGGGUAUGUAUUUUCUUAUACCUAUAUCCUGUGAGUUUCCCUCCAGCACCACCUCCACCAGAUACAUGACGCUUGGGAGGUAUGACUGUUUUAGUGUUUCUGUUAAUAAGAUUCUGUAAUUAGGCCCAUUAUAAUUCUCAGCACCAGGCCAAUGGGUUUUUGAUCUGGUCUUGCCCAGAGCACAAAGUUUUGGGUUGGUAGAGUCAAUUUCAUUAUUAUUGUGGGUGCAGUUUGCAUAUACUUUAAGAAAAGCUUACUCUCCUCUGUGCAGGUCAGGCACAGCUCAUAGUAAAAUAAAGCCCAGUUUACUUGAAAGGUUACUCAAAGCACCAUGACUUCUUCAACCUAGAGGCUGCAUGUGCGUGUGCCAGGUGUGCACUGGUGCUCCCCUGGUAUUCAUACCAUUGUAUAAAGGUUAAAAUGAGGUCUGUAGAUCGCCUCUCCUCACCUCCACUAUUUCCAAUGUAGAGACAGAAGCUAUUGAGCAGGAGCUUUGAUUACCUCUCCUAAGUUAAAUCCUGCAUUGCAGGUCUACCUCCUUGGUUCAGAGCCUUACCGCAUCACUCCAAGCCAAGCCUCAGAGCUAAGUCCCGCACUUCUGGGCUUAGCUCAGACAUAGAGGUUCUGGCUCUCCUUAGGAAACAGAGGGUGUUAGUGGAGUUGGGGAGUUACUCCCAAAGGAUCCCAGAUAAGAAGUCAAACUUUCAGUACCUGGCUGUAGUAGUUAUAGUACUCGGAGUGUUCCUUUUAGAUGUGAGUUUUUUUUAUUUUCUUGCAUCUUUUUAACACAAUAUAUAUUUUUAAAUGCAAUGCAAAUGUUUCACUUCCAAAAUGUAGUAAAUAUAAAGGAUUCUCUGAUAUGACAUUCUAGACUCUAAAUUUAGAAAUAAACUGCCCUUUACUGUUUCUCUGCCAAAUGGGCUCUGAGAGUUAGAUGAAGCUUCCCUCUCAUACAAAUAAUACAAAAAGCCCACUGACAAUCCACAUACAUGCACACAACCCCACAAAAAGCCUCUCAUACAAUAUCACAGUUUUUGUGUUUCUUUCCACAGUAGUUCAAUGUUGGGGCAUUGCCACCAUAUAUUGCUCAUCGUACCUCUAGAUGUUUUGCAUCUCCAACACAACGGUGAGGAGAGCGGAUAUAUUUUAUUCAAUCUAUCAGGUGUGAGAUACCACCUGUAUAUCAAUUUCUUGUGUGCUUCUAUGUGGGAGCAUAGCAGGAUGUGAAGCUUUUCAGGGCCAAGAGUGAUUGCAACCAUUGUUCUUUAUUAAGGGGUAACUGGUGUUCUUUGUUCCAUUUAUAAAUGGAAAGUCUGGUUGGGGUGUGUUUUGACCCAAGGCUGCAUAACUAAGAGAUAAAGACUUAGCUUUGAUCGGGGCUUUAUGACAUCUAUCAUAUAUGUGGAGCAAGGCUUUUCCAUCUCCGGGUGCUUCUGUUGUGAGGUGUAACACCUUGUCUAAAAAUAUACUUUUUAACUGAAUAUACAGAAAUAUAAAGGGUGGUGAUAAAUUAUAUUUAGUCUGUAGCUUUGGGAAGGGUAAAAAGUCUCCUUGAGAGCAUAAAUCUAUAAGGCGGGUGACACCCAACUCUUUCCAGCCGUUCAGUGAUAGCCUCGGUGAUAUAGAUUGAAGUGCCGUUAAGGGUGCCCAUUUUAGAAACUUGUCUUUGUUAGCGUGUGGGCGGUGUAAAUGGUCCCACAUGUGUAUUGUUUAGGCAUGUACAUGGGAAAAAAUUUCGGUUCAGCAUUCCGAAAUUCGCCACUUCGGAAUUUUGGUAACUUCGACACUUCGGAACUUCUCUUGCAGCCGCUUGGUAGAUAACUCCCUAAUUCCCAUGGUAUUAGGGAGUUAUCUACCAAAAGGCUGAAAGACCUAAAUUGGUCUUUCAGACACAUUUACUAAUUAGUAUUUAGGGCCCUCACCCACUGCUCAGGGGUGGGAGUCAGGGGGGGAGAACAUUAGGUCCUCCCCCUCAUUCUAAUUUAGGGCCCCCACCCACCACUCAGGGGUGGGGGCCAGGGGGGAGGACAUUAGGUCCUCCCCCUCAUUCUAAUUUAGGGCCCUCCCCCACCGCUCAGGGGUGGGGGUCGGGGGGAGGACAUUAGGUCCCCCCCCUAAUUAGUAUUUAGGGCACCCAACCACUGCUCAGGGGUGGGAGCUGGAGGGGGGGACAUUAGGUUGCCCCCUAUUCUGAUUUAUGGCCCCCACCUCCCGCUCAGGGGUGGGGGCCAGGGGGGAGUUCAAUAGGCCCCCCAUUACUUUACUUUAGUGCACCCAUCCACCACUCAUGGGUCCCCCCCUUAUUUUAUGUUAGGGCCCCCACCGCCGUUCAGGGGUGGGACCGGGGGGGCAAUAGGUCCCCCCUUCAGGUUAGUAAUUCACACCAGACACAGGUUCCAGGUUGUUGAAUAACUUGAGGCAAGUUUAUUCAGAGGGGACGGCAGGUCCCUUUUAAAGCAAAAUUACAUCAUAAGCAUUGUCAGAGAUAACAUGGAAUAAUACAUCAAUAAUUGGUUAAGUGUUAAGUGUUUUAUUCAAAGCACAUCCUACUGGAUGUGCCUUCUUAUGUCAUUACUGUCGUCAUGAAGUUCUCCCCCGGAUUCCAGCGCCAUCUUGAAAAUUAGAGUGUUUGGUCGAUGGGUGGGGUACUCCUGAGUGACAUCUAGUGGUCAGUUUAGUAAUUUAUUGAAUAAUAUUGAGUAUAACUAAAUGGAGUAAAUAGACAUUUUACUAGCUAAAAAUGUCAAUAUUUCAUUUCCACAACAGCUCCCUAAUACCGUGGGAAUUAGGGAGUUAUCUACUUAUUCAUUCCUGCCAUUACAUUGACUGGCCAAGUAACUUACAUUUUAUAUGAAUGUAUGUUACUUGAUUGUUGUAAAUGUUGCAAAUGCUUACAGCUGAAUCCUGUCUAUAUUUGUAUACUUUUUAUUUAAAAUUGUAUACAUUGUAAAAUUCUUCUUUAUCCACUGGGUAAGUAUAUUAGUACUUAGGCAAAACUGUGCUUCGGCACUUCGACACUUCGGAAAUUCGGUAAUUCGGCACUUCGGACAUUCGGAAGUACCCGAAUGUCCGAAUUGCCCGAAAUUCGUCCGAAUACAUAUUCGGCCCAAAACGAAUUGCACAUGUCUACUAUUGUUAGUCUAGUGAGCGGCAAGAGUGUACAUGAUUUAUCACGUAGGUUUAUGGGUGUCCACAUAUAAUGUGUAGCGGAACAAUCUGGAUGGUACCCAUUCUCCAUGUCUACCCAUUGCAGCUUGCCUUUGGGGGCAUGAAGUUUAAUAGCAUUUUCUAUGAUUGCUGCUUUGUGGUAGUUUUAGGAUAUGCGGAAAGCCUAGGCCUCUUGAGUGCGUCGGGGCUUGUAGUAGAAAAAGAGGGACACAGGGUUUUUUAUUUCCCCAUACGAAUGUGGAGAGUAUUUUUUGCAUCUGUUUACCCAGCGCGGGUGCUAGUGGAAGUGGUAACAUCCUAAAUAUAUACAGCAGUUUCUGUAAAACUGUCAUUUUGAUGGCAUUAAUCUUGCCUAGCCAUGUAAGAAAAACCAUCUUUCCAUUUGGAAGUGUGGUGUUUGUACAUUUGUGGUAGCGGAGAUAGAUUGUGUUUUACUAUCCCCCUGGUGGUGGUUGCGAUCUUAACCCCAAGGUACAUGAAGUAUGUCUGUCUCCAAUCAAAAGUGAAUUGACCUUUAAGCAAUUGAACAGUGGUAUUUAGUAGUCUUAUGGGAAGUGCCUGUGUCUUCGUUUGAUUCAGUUUGUAUUAGGAUAUCCGACCAUAUUCUUGUAGAGUUCGCAUUAAGGGUGGCAGUGAGUGUGUGGGUUGCGCCAGUGAUAUGAAUACAUUGUCUGCAAACAUAGCUAGUUUAUACACAGAGUUUCUAAUUGGGACUCCUGAGAUAUCCGUCAUGUUUCAGAUUUUAUAUGCUAGGGGCUCGAGAGAGAGUACGAAUAACAGGGGUGACAAAGGGCAACUCUGUCUGGUACCAUUUGUUAUAGCAAAGGGAGUUGAUAGAAAACCUCAGUUUUGUGGGGAUAUUUAUGGGAUAAUAAUAGUAAACAGUGAGAAUUGCCCACUAAUUCAAUUCUCAGAUCCCAAAGAUCGUUAUCGUGUAAUUGAAAAGUAUUUCAUAUAAAUAAAAUCACAAUUUGUUAUAAAAAUAGAUUUAUUUUAUAAUAACAAAUUAAUUAAUAAUAAUAUGUAACAUGCGUGACAAUAAUCAAUGAAUAUCCAGUAUAAAAUGAUAUGCAAUACAAAAUGGCAAUACACGUUUCAAUGGCUAAACAGCAUUUUCUGUCAAGACUUACACGAUUUAUGAGGUAUCCUUACAGACACAGAAAGCAAAGCUUUUCACAGCGAAGGGCCAUAAAACCCUGGCUAACAGUUAGAUCAACUGAAUAACCCUUUCAAUGCUAGCUAGAUGCUCCUAGGCAUAUAGUAUCCUAUACUCCUGUGAUUUUCAAUUGAAAUAACAUUUGAACCAGCUCAUUAGUCAUUUCCUGGAACCAUCCAAUAAGAAUAAUCUACCAGAUUUUUACAAAAGCAGAAUUUUAAUUCGCCUAAAAAGAUAUCUUAUCUUAUAUUAGAGCAAAUCAAUACACCUGGAUAAAAACAACGGUAUGCUAACACGUGAUAAUAUCACAUUAAUAUAUAAUUAUUCUUAAUUCCACCUGCAGAAUAGAAUGUUUAUCACUAUAUAUUCUUUAGUUAACUAAGAUUUCUAAAUAUUGAAAUCUGACCGUGAUUUAUCCAGUCAUAUAUCAUGCUAUUAGUAAAUUUUAAAUUAAUUAAAUAAAACCAGCAUAAUUACCAGCUAUGUAGAUAUUUUCCUCAGAUGAGUAGGUAUUCCCAGAAACUUGAUUGGUUGUAUGGAGGUGCGUGAGUGAUAGGAAAAGUAUUAAAGAGUUUAAGAGUUUAUGUCCAAGAGAGUUUAAGGGUAGAGUGUUAGUCCCAGAUAUUGUCCUGGAUUUCUCUGCAUGUCCGAGUUGGAGUCCCCAAACUUCCAAUUCCUCCCUCCUCUCUCUUUUUCUUUUUUUUCUCUUCCCUCUGUCUUAACUUUUUAAAGGGAAAGUUCACUAGUUGAUAGACCAAUAGGAACACUGGAGGUGUGGUUACCUUCCAGAUAGCAAUUUAGUAUUUGGUCUAUAGAGGGCAGUCUUGUCCCACUAAACAUACCUAUCCAGGAAAGAGUUAACUUUUCUUGGUGGCUAUUUUGAUGUCAUUUUGCUUUAUCUUUAUAGUUGCUAUAAUUUACGUUUUCUUUCACUUCAAAGGGUUUUCUCUUAGUUUUGUUCAGACUUAGUGUCCGCAAUUCCUGCUAUAAUUUCUAAUAUGACAGUUCGUAAACUAAGUUUCACCUUAAACUACAAUGGGAGGUUAUACAAUAUAAAAAGUAAAAUUUAAUUAUUUAAUCUUCUCUGUCACAAAUGUCUGGGUUUAGAAUUGAUUGUAUUCCAUUAGCAUUUAGACAGUCUGUCCAACCCCCGUUCUCCUUAUCACUUGGUUUGUAUAUACUAUGCAUUCCUUUAGCUCUGGGAAAGUGGUUAGUUUUACAGAUAGAAAUCUUGUGUCUUUUGUUAGCUUGAAAAUAACAAAAUGGAGUCUGCUCUGUUCAAAAGUGACUCAGCAUAUACACUUUUAAUUUCUAUCAUAGCACAAGAUGUCUGCCGAUAUAAAUACCCUGACAUAACCCCCCUUUAGUGCAUUUCAUAGCCAAAAUUAAUUUAGCUUAUGAAUAAGCACUAUAGAAGUUACCAGACAUAUUGUGCAAUCACAUCAUUUCUAACAUAGGCCCGUGCGUGGAAUGAACAUUUUUGUAUAUAUUUGUACCUGUAAGAGUUUUGAACUUUACACUUAGUACAAUCAACCAUAAUAUAAUUAUUAUCAUAGCACACCCAAUAACAAUCUUAACAUGGAUGAACCAGUCAACACGAGCAAUAAGGUCAGUAUCUAGCUCAGAGUAUUUAAAUGUAUCCACAGAAAUGUUAUCUUUUCUGAUUGACAUUUGGAUAGUAUGGUUGGGCUUAUGGUCCAGCAAGAACUUUAGAUUAGGAUCUAGAGGGAUAUCUAGAUUCUGGAAGGGAUCCACCAUCUCAAUAGCACUUUCGAUGAUGUCAGUGUACACUGGGUAUAGCGUAACGUCACCGAUGGUGAUACGAGAGUCGUGGGAUACCUUGAUCAGUGAGACAGGUGCUGGUAAGGCAAUUACUUUAUUAGUCACCUGGUCCCUGCGAAAAACACUUAUGUUUUUAAGACACGUGCUUACCAACCAUUUAUCUUUUACUAAGAUAGCAUGUACUAACGCAUUACUGUCGGUUUUUGACAUAGUUACUUGACAUGUUUCAGAGCCAUGUUUAAGGUACUCGAUCCCACACAAAGCAUUGGUAGAAUCGUACACAAAAGGUUUUCCAUCACAUUGGAAAUUAUUGUCUUUGAAUUUUUCACAGUCAUUCAAAAUGGGUAUUGAAUACCACUCUGGUAUCCACGGUUGAAAAGCCAAAACAUCUGGGGUUUGGACUUUUACAUGGAUAUUUUCCUUCCAAGUACCGACAUUGUAGAUUGUUUUUGUAACCGUGUGUGGUUCCCUUAUUUACCACUAUAAUGUCUUAAAGCAUAGAACUUAGUAGGGCUAACCAUACAGAUAUCUUAGCCAUAAUUUUAUAUAGUGUAAGAGAUCCUCUAUUUAACAUAUAUAAAUAAUUGAGAAUACAAUAUAAAAUAAGGAUUGUCUUGGAAGAAAGAUUGUCUUUUUGGAUAUUUAUUAUAUAAAAAUAUAAAAUCCAUUAUAGCAGAGUUUAUAAAAUUAAAUUACAUGCUUGCAAAUAUCAUUAAUAGGUUAACAUACCCUUCUGAACAUGUCAUCAUGUCAGCCUCUCUGUCAUUUUAAGAUGGAGCAGCGUCUGUCUCCAAGUCUCUCCUCUGUGUCUUAACAUUUAAAAGUACACCUAUUUAUACCUUAGAUGUCUCCAUUUUAGGUUACUGUAGUUCAAAUAUAAAAAAGUAACACUUCUUUUACUUUAUUCAAUUUAGGACCUCCCUUAAUUUGGCAAACAUACAAGGCCAUAACUAAAGGGUGUAUACGUCAUGGAAAUUUUCCUGACUUAGUUCAAGAUGGCAUCUUGAAGUCUGAAUAGGUUAUCUGUUGUUUAUACUAAGUCGUAAGUGUACAGUAGUGGGAGAUUCCCAGAUUUAGGGAAGUUCCAUUAACUUGGGGUUACCACAGUAUAUUGUGUACUGCAAGAGUCGUAGCAUAGCCUUGAAACUUGUUUAUGCAUUAUUGUUAUUGUAAUUCGUCUGGGACAAAAUGGCGCAAACAUAUUAUGCACUGAGGUUAUUGCUUAAAGAAACAUCUAUGAAAAACAAUAUGUUCCAUUUCUAACACCUUGUCAAUUUGCAAUAUCUCUUAAAGACAAAGUACACAGUUUAAGAAAUACAACAUUUCAUUCUAAAACUUGUAAUAUUUGCAUUUGCCCAUAACACCCUCUCCAUUAAACUGUGGGCAUUGUAGCGCAUUUCUUCCUUAAAUUAGUAAACCAAAGUUCUCCAACUGUCUUUAGGUUUUUUAUGCUCCCAGCAUCUUAGAUCAUUGUUGUAACAGUAAAAUAUCCGUAGUGUGAUCUUUGCCUAUAAAGGUGGUUGAUUAAAAUGAGCAAAGCUUUUGUCUGGGAAAGAAUUGAAAAGAACACCAGGUUCCAGAGUAAGAUAUUCUUGGAUAGAUCCGGAUACGAAUUGUAAUCCAAAGUUAAAAAUAGUAAUUGUAUUUGUAAUCCAA